GUAGCCUAGUGGUUAAAGCCCGGGUUCGAUUCUACAUAUGGAUAUAAUGUGAGAAGCCCAUUUAUGGUGUCCUCCGCCGUGAUACUGCUGAAAUAGUGCUAAAAGCGGCGUAAAACUAAAGUCACUC